GGUUAUUGGUCAUCGAACAGAUGAGAAUUUCUCUGAAAGAGAAUGCAUGUUAUUUGAAGCUGAAAUAAUG
rnacentral:snoRNA from 1 species